rnacentral:lncRNA from 1 species
AUGGUUCUAGCGAACAAAAAGCGGCAUUUGAUGCCAACACACUGUCCUGGGCUGCUUGUGCAUCAUGACUUCGCAGACCUCAUUCAUCACGGAUCCUUCUCCCGGACAGUUCCCACUUUGGCUGUCAGGUUUUUCUCGUCACGUCACCUUCUUCCUCCACAGAUACCUAAUCAGGGAGAGAGCACAUCCCAGGCACAUCCAAGGCAGAAAAGUCCACCCACCCCCACCUUCCCGUGCUCCCCGCGACCGCCCUUCAGGCCCCAUGGCUUCGGUUUCCCAGGGCUCAAGAAACACAGGAAUAGAGAAAAGGGCUCAGCUCUGCAGGACCUGGUGCUAGCACAGCUUCCCCGGUCCCAAGCUAAGGGCACCGAUUCAGUGACGAAUUUCCCCAAACAUGACAUGACAGCACAAAAACUUUCUGAACGGACUGUCCACAUCAAUUCCUGCCGAAAGGUAAAGGUAUGGGGGAGCCUAUUUAACCCUUAUAUUAGUGUUUUUAAAAGCAUGAAAGAAGGUACAAUCCUUAAGAGAUUUCUCUUGACUUAAGUGAUGACUCUUCACACGGUUAAUAGCUUUUCAACUAUCGGCUACCACAAGAUGCGCAUGAAAGCAUUAAAAAACCAAAACAAACAAAAAAACCCCCAAACAAAACAAAACCGAAAAACCAACAACAACCAAAGCAAAACCAACUAAACAAAAAGGAACUGCGGGCCCAAACUCCCUUGAGUCAUCGUGUUUAAUAACUAACUAGGUUCAACUCUGCAUCUCUACGUGCGUUUGUAUUUUCAUUGUCAAAGAAUAAGCGUGUAUGUUCUUCACAUGUUAGGUUUGCAAUUUCGUGUUCAUUUCGACAUUCCCUAACGACCCAUCCCACAGAGGUGUCUAAAAGCACCUACAGAUUAUCUCUCAUCUCUCUACUACUCUAAUGUGACACACCUACUUACAUUUUAGGGGUAAAUAAUUUGAGACAGAUUUACAGUUCAACCCUCUCAGUAGACAGGAGGAGAGGUCUGCGUGGAAUAUAAAUUCAAGAAUGUAAUUCUUUCUCAAACAAAUAAUCUGUUCCCUUUCAAAUAUAAUUAAUGUUUUGAUAGUGCAUUUCUUGUGAGAGAGAGAUACAAAAACAGAGGCAACCUCUUGGAUCUCUGUUUGUAUAUUUUCAACAGGAAUUUACAGUACCUAUCUUGUGAAUGUGACAGAUAGAGUGUUUUGAACAUUUAGAAUUUUAUUUAUUAGCAGAACUACAGCAAGAAACUUAUAGGUCCUUACUACCCACCAUGCCCAUUUAAUACACGGUUUUGCUGCAAAGGAAAUUGCAGUUGCAGGAGGAAGGCAUUAGUCUUUCAGGGGGAUGAGAAAUGUUCCCUAGUUCUCAGGGUGCAGACUUCUGUGCUGUUGUGCUCCGGAGGCACACGUCCUUGUGCUUUGUCUUUCGUUCUCCUCUCUCUUUCCUCGCUGGGACUGUGCCUAUGUCCCUUUUCUUCUCACGUAGGGAGUUAAGGAAAAGGGUGGGAAUAUUUUGGUUUUGAGUUUCCAGCGUUCACACUGGUCCGGGCAAUAAUGUGUUUCAAGUCACAUAGUCAGAAUAAAGCCAUGUUUGAAAUUGCCCA